UGGGGAAUAUUGCACAAUGGGCGAAACCCUGAUGCAGCAACGCCGCGUGAGUGAUGACGGCCUUCGGGUUGUAAAGCUCUGUCUUCAGGGACGAUAAUGACGGUACCUGAGGAGGAAGCCACGGCUAACUACGUGCCAGCAGCCGCGGUAAUACGUAGGUGGCAAGCGUUGUCCGGAUUUACUGGGCGUAAAGGGAGCGUAGGCGGACUUUUAAGUGAGAUGUGAAAUACCCGGGCUCAACCUGGGUGCUGCAUUUCAAACUGGAAGUCUAGAGUGCAGGAGAGGAGAGUGGAAUUCCUAGUGUAGCGGUGAAAUGCGUAGAGAUUAGGAAGAACACCAGUGGCGAAGGCGACUCUCUGGACUGUAACUGACGCUGAGGCUCGAAAGCGUGGGGAGCAAACA
rnacentral:rRNA from 1 species